GACUCCUGGGUUCUCUCCUGGGCGAGGCAGCCCUGUGGGGCACCCAGCCUGAUCCUGUUCUCCACAGUGCUGCUCCCUGCGGGGGGGCACGGAGCCCCUGGCCCCCGACACGGCCCUGCAGAGCCUUGCAUUGGCGGCCUGCGACUCGCACCAGCUGAUGGCGGCCUUUGGGCAGGUGUAUGAGACGGAGCUGCGGGAACACUGCGGCCGUGGCCCCGCCCCACGGCUCAGCCCCUGUGGGCCCCUGGCCCAGCACCUGCACCAGGCGCUCACCCUCUGCACCCAGGUACAAAGGGGGUGGGGAUGCUCUAGCCACGCCCCUAGGGGAGGGGCCCUUUGCCUCAGCCGUAUGGGGAGGAGCGGAGCUACUGGAGAAGGGGCGUGGUCUCUAUGGGUCCCCUCCAUGUGGGUGUGGGGCCUUAAUGACAGCCCCCCAGCAAGGUCCUACAAGCUUCUUCUUCCAAGGGGUGGGGUCUCUCAGAGACUCCAGCUCCAGGGCAGGGACCCAAGAUCCCUGGUGGGGGGGACCCUGCGGGGGCAGGGCCAGGGGCUGCAAAGUCCCUGGGGGGGAACGGGAGGGUCCAUGUGGCGGGACCCCUGAGGGCCAGUACUCACCCCCCCCCCCCGGGCCUUCCCCAGGAGCUGCUGGCGCUGGCCCAGCUGAGCGACACCUCAGAGCAGGCGGUGCAGACGGCGGAGCGGAGACGCGGCGAGGAAGGCAGCAGCCCCACAGCAACACUGCCCGUGAAGAUGGAGGAGCUGCGCCGGCGCUACCAGGCCCGCUUGGCCGCUGCUGGGGGGCUGUCGGGGUAACCCCAGGACCGGGCCGGGGGAGGGGAGAAGGGUGGGGGGGCUCCAGGGCCCCCAUCUCACAAGGGAGCUGCUGUCCCGUUGUUCCUGGGAUAAUAAAAGAG
rnacentral:lncRNA from 1 species